ACCCCACAAUCGUCUUCUUCACCAACAAAUGCAAGGAUUCAUCUCCUCCACCAACAAAUUCAAAAAAUCAUUAUUCUCAAAUCAGCUGAAACAUCAUUGUCAGUUUUAGAUCUGAAAGAGACGAUUAUUGAGGUUGUGUUGGAUUCAUUGUUAGUUUGAGAAAGUUAUAGUUUUUUUGAGUGUUUGACAGAAAAUUGGUAUGUGGGUUAGUGCUAGAUUAGUGUUUGACUGAAAAUUGGUAAAUGGGCAUGUGUUAGAUUCAUCAUAGUUUGAGAAAUUGCUAAGUUUUUGAUUGUUUGGCUGAAAAUUGGUAAGUGUGUCAUUG
rnacentral:lncRNA from 1 species